UCGAGGAUCUUUCGCAAUGGGCGCAAGCCUGACGAAGCGACGCUGCGUGAGCGAUGAAGGCCUUCGGGUCGUAAAGCUCUUUCGCGCAAGAACAAGGGAAUGAUGUGAAUAACAUUGUGACUUGAGGGUACUGCGUAAAGAAGCACCGGCUAACUCCGUGCCAGCAGCUGCGGUAAUACGGAGAGUGCAAGCAUUAAUCGGAAUUAUUGGGCGUAAAGGGCGCGUAGGCGGAAAUGUAAGUCAGAUGUGAAAUUCCGAAGCUCAACUUCGGAGCUGCAUUUGAAACUACAUUUCUAGAGGAUUGACGGAGAAAACGGAAUUCCACGUGUAGCGGUGAAAUGCGUAGAUAU
rnacentral:rRNA from 1 species